rnacentral:misc_RNA from 1 species
CGGCCAUUCCUUAACAGUUAAAAGACUCGGGAAUAUCUCCAAGGCCGGGGGGGCAGAGAGAGAGAAACGACGCGAAACUCAGACAAUCACAUCGUAGCCGUUGAUUUUUUUUUCUCUUUUUUAGCCACAUCGAACUCCAACCGUCCGUAUCUUCAACGGCGGUGGCUGUCAUCGCGUCUCCGCCGUCCGAUUACCGAUCCCCGAAAAUUAGUUCAUAGAACUUGGCGGACAUGGUGAUGGUUGCCAGUAUGGAUGAAUAUUUGGGAAACCCCAUAAUCAGGCUACUCAUGC